GAUGGCCACAUCAUGUUAAAACACUGAUUGUCAUAUGAUCACUAAAGUUAAGCAAUGUUGAGCCUGGUCAGUACCUAGAUGGGUGACUGCUCGGGAAUAUCAGGUAC